GCCUUUGUGGUGCAAAGGUUAAGCAUUCAGCUGCUAACUGAAACAUUGGCAGUUCAAAUCUACCCAGAGGCU
rnacentral:tRNA from 1 species